AGGAUCCCAAAUGAAGGAAGUCAGGCUUCUGUAGUUAAGAAAAACCUACACAUAUCUUAACAGGGAAAAGCUGCAGGCUCUGAAGUCUUCCCAUGAGAGGAUCAUCUUCCUGACCACAGCCCACACCUUGAUAUUGCCUCGUCCUACUACGUCUAGACUUUUGCCCCUUGCAUGAACAGGAUACUAAGCACAGAGAGUCUCCUUGUUUCCUAAGACCAAACACACUGCUAAUCUGCACAGAUUGGUUUGCCUUCUGGCAGCAAGCAGCUGCAGCAGGAAAGGCUGAAAGCCAGGAGUUGAGGCCACACCUCACAUCCU